GAUCUGAAUUGUCUUAUAGUGACUCUUGAUGAAGUAGAUCAUGUACAGUGUAGGCUGUUUUGGAACUGUGAUCCGGCCAGUGUCACUCAAUCCAUUGUACCCAAUCACUUAGCAUCCAUUGUUAAAAAUUUGUUCUGAGAAGGUGCUCAUUAACAAGAAGCCAUGCCCACUUGAAACAGACGAGGGAGAUGAUGUUAGCAGGUGUUGCAUUAAAGCUAAAAUAAAAAUAAAUACUGGUAAUCUUUUGUUGAUAAUUUCAGAGCCUUCUUCAAAUUGUGUCAAUCAGAUAACUUAACUUUGGACUCCGGCUCCACCCACAAUUGUGUAUCUCUCCCAGAAGCUCCACCCUCUAAUGCUAUCACCUUUUGAACCCUCAAUGGGGACAUUGUUACAAUAAUAUCAUCAAGUCAGUACAGAUUACAGUCUGACUUACUUCCCUCUCUGUAUAUGAUUUUUGCUAAUGAACUAGUUAAAACAUUUUUAAUGAUUUUUUUGAAAAGGUACAAUUUAAACUGAUUAAUUUUUU